GAGCAAGAGGGCCUCCUUAAUUGCUACUGCCUGCAUCUUUCUAUACUCAAUGCAGGGUUAACUCCUGUGACCUUGCUUUCUUAACACAUAUGGAAUAUGCAAAUUGAAAACAAACACAGACACAACCAUCCAACUCAAAAUGCUUAUUCAUCUUCCCUCAGGGAAUGAUGAGUGAACACACUUUGAUAGUUAAGUUACAGCAGUACUGGAGUGGACAUAUGAUAGCCUUAUUCUCCUGAUUUUACUGUUCCAGUAUAAUCAAGAACAUUGCAUCCAUUAUACUAUGUUAAAGGGGAAAAAACUAAAGCAAAAGAAUGGGAAAUUACCAGAAAGAACCACCUUGUUCUGACUGUACUGAAGAAGAUCUCUAGGAAGUAAUUCAGAAGUUUAUCCUUUAGGACCUCACCAAUUUAUUCUGUACAUUUUACAUACCAUGAAGUGGCUUCUAAGAGCAGAAGGAACCAGAUUUGGAUUUGUAUUUGGAUGUGAUUCUUAAUUACUGAGUUAAUGCUUUUAAGAUACACUACCAUUAGAAAUACUAAAUAAUGAUAUCUCCUAUUUUGUACUUACCCUGGAUUCAUGCUUAUCCUUUGGGAGGUACAUCUUUGAAGCUCCAUUUCACUGCUCUGGUAGGUCUCUGCAACUUUCACACAAGUACUAUGGUGAAUUUGCAGCUUCUGAAAUAUAUUGGUUUACGCUAUCUUCAGAAUAUCAAUCUUUAGGAUUUCUCCUAUUUACCUGUUUAUUCCUAAAAUAAAUUUUGCUUUUAAACACUUUUUUUUUUUUUUUUUUUCUGCAGCAAGAUGACUCAGAGUACUCCCUUUGUUAAUUCUGUGUUUUCAAAGAAAUUUCUGUUUGGAUUCUGCAUAAAAUGGGUGAUGAGUUCUACUGAAUACAUUCUUUUAACUUCCCCCUGUUUAGCAGUUUACUAUAAUAUGGCAUUUAACUACUACCAAGCUUCUAAAUGUUGGAUAAAGAUAAUAUUUAUUAAAUAAAAUAUAACUGUGUCCCUACCUAUAGGCUAAAUGAAUAAAAUACAUGCUCAAUUUAGAAAAAAAUGAGAAAAAGUCAUGUGUAACUACUGUGCAAAUCAUUUCUAUUGGGAAAAAAGAAAAUCUGGCAAACACUAGUGAGCAUUUAUGUUAGAUUCUAGAGGUUUAUAUGCUCCUGAAGAAACAAAUGGUAGAUUUUUGAAACAAGUAAUUUGCAAGAGACAAACAAAUGCAUUUUCUGGGAGUUUUUAAAGUGAACAAUGAAUGCUGUAGGAAAGAGCAGUAGUUGGCCCUCCCAGAGAACCCUGGAAUCCACUUAACCAUGAUUGUAAUAGCAAUUGAAAGGAAACUCUAAAGGAGUGGAAACUUAAAAGCAGUCCCAGAAGUGCCUGAGAAAUUUGAGUAAAAUAUUUUUAAAGCCCUGAAAGAAUCUGUACGUAUUCCUGUUUCCCAUUCUAUUUUCUGCACCAUCAAUCCAUUCUCAAGCUAAGCUCUAACACCAACGUUGUUAUUGUUGAAACAGUACUGUAUAAAUUUAGGAAUAAACAACCUGGAUUUCAGGGCUCCAAGUUAGUUGCACUUCAGCAAGCUGCAGAAAGGACAAGGGGAACUGUUUUGUUUGGAUUUUAUGUUGACUAAAAUCCAUCUGAAGUG
ensembl:lncRNA